rnacentral:rRNA from 1 species
UUUGGAUUUGGCACUGUCCCUUUGGAUCCCGCUCCCAACUCGUCCGUCUCACGGACAACGAUGGUGCUCCGGUCACCGCCGUUUACAUCGGCGGGAGGCUGGACCCACAAAAACGAACCUUGACCUCAAAUCGGGUGAGACUACCCGCUGAACUUAAGCAUAUCA